rnacentral:lncRNA from 1 species
CCACAGCCAUAUAUACAUGCUUGCUAGACUUUGAGCCACACAUUUACUUUUUACUACUUAUGAGCAUUGAUUGUGGUCAAGCUGUGUAGACCCUUAGGAUCUUGUCAUGUGGUUAAAUCAAGAUUCACUUGCACGAUCACUCACACAUGCUGCUUCUACUCCGGAAGUACGCAUCCACAUAUAUCCACUCAUUUCUAUCUCCAGAACCACCCAAAAAUAUUCUACUCCUAAUCCGAGAGAGAAUAGCCAAAAACAUUUCUGUUUUCCCCUAUGAAAUAAAUGCUCAAGUUAUCUUGGUUAUUACCACUUGCUACAUUAUUUCAAGAGAUGAGUGCUCUAAAAAAAGAGAGAGAAAAAAGAGAAAGGAUACGGGGAAAUAAAAAGAGGCAAGUGCCCGGAACCUCGAAAGAAAAGGAAAAGUGAGACGAAAGGUAAAAAUGAACAAGUGUCCGAUAGUAGAAUUAGGUGUACAAGAUACCCACCUGAGAGGAAAGAAAAAGAAAAAGAAGAGCAUCCCAUUCUCCUCAAAAGUUUCAAAAGACCAAGAAAGGUAUGUAUCCCCUCAAAAGAGCAAAAGUAGAAUUAGACUUUCACCAUUGUUAUCACCAUCAUCACCAUACACCAUUCAUUCGCCACACAUGUACAUCUUGAUUUGACUUAUUGACUUGUUUCUCUGGAUCCAUGGUUUGACUAUGCAAUAAAUGUCUUGUAAGUAUGUAUACUUUAUCUCCCACCUAUGAGCUCCAGAUAUCAAAAACCUUAUUAGAGUAGGAUGAGAGAGAAGACAAUGUCACUAUGCCUUAUACUACAAAUACUACAUACUUUGAGAGAAGGCAUAUACCAUCACUGCCUUGGUGAGGAUCC